CACCAUAACGAGAGACAGCGGCGUUCCGGCCAUGGUGUACACGCACGGCGGUGGCCGUGGCCGUGCGGACCCUAAGGCCGGCAUGCUCAUAAACGCACAGCGGAGCCCAUGAUCUCAAGUGGCGAGGAUGAGCAGCACCAGUGGCGCCAAGGUGAUGUAGUCGUGGAGAGGCAGCAGCUCACCCAGGAGCUUCGCGGUGGCAGCAGGAAACCGCCGGCACAGCCUUGCGGCGGCUGGCGAUGGAAACGGCCUUCCCAUUGCGUAACACACCCCUAGAUCGGUAGGUUUGAGGGAAUUAAGGGGCUAGAUAUCAUGUACGUGAACUCAGGUGCCAUAAGUAUCCAGGCCCCACCCUUU